rnacentral:tRNA from 1 species
GCCCCUGUAGCUCAGCUGGUCAGAGCAGCGGACUCAUAAUCCGUCGGUCCUGGGUUCAAGCCCCAGCAGGGGCACCU